UUCAACCUGUGGAUUCCAAUCUACGCCGGUAUCACACAACCAGCACGCCACCCAUUCAUGCACCCACAAGGCGGCAACCUUAACUAAGAAGCAAUCCCCUCCACCAUAAGCUCCACCGGCUGCUGAUGCCUGUUCUCCUCCAUCGGCAAUCUCAGUAGAUGCAUCCUUGGAGCCCCGUCAGCAUCAAUAGUCCUCACUCCUCGCCGUCACAAACAACGUCUCCUCUUCAUGUCAUCAUCACCGUCCCCAAGGCGCAUCCAGGACGAUUAUCAGCGGCGUGUUCUUUCACUACACCUCCCCGCAUCUCCCCUUCAUCCAGCAUCGUCAGCCUUCAGCACGUCAACAGGUUGGUCUGAAUGGAAGAGUUAUUGGCAGUGACCUCCCACAUGAUUCAUACAACAUAGUUGAAGAAUGACGUGGUAUCCGAAGAUUUAGAAAAGGAGUGCAUUCCAAGACCCAGGAGAAACUACAGAUGAAUUAGUCUUUAAGUGAACAAAUAUUAUAGAUUAUGUAUAUAUUUUAGCUUAAUAGGAAAACUUUCUUGUAGUUUUUAGGAUAAUUUCUUAAUCAUUUGUAUCUUUUGUGAAAUUGUCUGAAUUGAUUCAGCUGUGAACUCAUGGUUUUUGUUCAUGCUAACUAGAACACUCGAUUUGUCACUAAGUAUGUUAAAUGUGCGAAUGGGAUGCUUGUGAAUGCAAUUGGUGAUAUGGGUGGAUAAAUUUAUAUAAUGAGAUUCGUUUCUUGUAAA